rnacentral:rRNA from 1 species
UACAGAGGUCCCGAGCGUUGUUCGGAUUCACUGGGCGUAAAGGGCGCGUAGGCGGCUUUAUAAGUCGGGGAUGAAAGCCUGUGGCUCAACCACAGAAUUGCCUUCGAUACUGUAGAGCUUGAGACCGGAAGAGGUAAGUGGAACUGCGAGUGUAGAGGUGAAAUUCGUAGAUAUUCGCAAGAACACCAGUGGCGAAGGCGGCUUACUGGUCCGGUUCUGACGCUGAGGCGCGAAAGCGUGGGGAGCAAACAGG